CCGUGGCCCUAUCGAAGCUGCCUCUGCCUCCUCUGUGGCUGACGUGGUCAAAAAGGUGCCAAAAGUAACUUUUUUUCCCUUGACGGUCGCUGUUCAGCUUGUCCUGUUAUAACUGUCCAGCAACACUUUUAGGGAAAUACAUGA